UACGGGGGGAGCAAGCGUUGUUCGGAUUUACUGGGCGUAAAGGGCGCGUAGGCGGCCACCGCAAGUCAGUUGUGAAAGCUCUGGGCUUAACCCAGAAAGGUCAGCUGAUACUGCGGGGCUAGAGUGCAGAAGGGGCAACUGGAAUUCUCGGUGUAGCGGUGAAAUGCGUAGAUAUCGAGAGGAACACCUGCGGCGAAGGCGGGUUGCUGGGCUGACACUGACGCUGAAGUGCGAAAGCUAGGGGAGCGAACGGG
rnacentral:rRNA from 1 species